rnacentral:rRNA from 1 species
GAUGAACGCUGGCGGCGUGCCUAAUACAUGCAAGUCGAGCGAACGGACGAGAAGCUUGCUUCUCUGAUGUUAGCGGCGGACGGGUGAGUAACACGUGGAUAACCUACCUAUAAGACUGGGAUAACUUCGGGAAACCGGAGCUAAUACCGGAUAAUAUUUUGAACCGCAUGGUUCAAAAGUGAAAGACGGUCUUGCUGUCACUUAUAGAUGGAUCCGCGCUGCAUUAGCUAGUUGGUAAGGUAACGGCUUACCAAGGCAACGAUGCAUAGCCGACCUGAGAGGGUGGUCGGCCACACGGGAGCUGGGACACGGUCCAGAGUCCUAAGGGAGGCAGCAGUAGGGAAUCUUCCGCAAUGGGCGAAAGCCUGACGGAGCAACGCCGCGUGAGUGAUGAAGGUCUUCGGAUCGUAAAACUCUGUUAUUAGGGAAGAACAUAUGUGUAAGUAACUGUGCACAUCUUGACGGUACCUAAUCAGAAGGCCACGGCUAACUACGUG